GUCUGGACCUGUCCAACCUCAGCACUGGGAGUGUAGACGAUGCUGCUGCACAGGGAUCACCACACAAAGGUGAGCAAUUCGUUUUACAAAGGCCUAUUCAUUCACACACAAAAAAUGCUUGACAGCAAGUCAGCAACCCAGGGGAAACCCCCAAAGAAAAGCAGAGGAGACAAUGGCAAGGAUCUGAACAGGUCUCGGAUCCGAACCAGCACAGGUCUGUUUGGGUCUGUUUUCCACACUACUUUUCGGAAAGGGUCUGACUGUUCUCGCGUCCAUUUGGAACGGGUCUCUGUUUUUUGAAAAUGUAUUUAUGCAUAUCGGUCAGGCGGGAAAGCCACGGAUCCAUUCCCAACUUUUUGGACCCGUUAAGACCUCUAACUCCCAAGGUAGGAAGACCCGAGACGCCAGUCUUGGCUGGGCAUAAGUUCAGAGUGUAUGACCAUCUAUGCUGGUGUGUGCGUUGCAUAUUCUGUCCACAAACUCAGAUGAGUGUUCUUCUGGAAGGGAAGUUCAGCUGCUUGGUUGAGUCUUUUGCCGUGGUGGACUGCUGUUACCCAUAUGAGUAUCAGGGAGGACACAUUAUGGGGGCUCUGAGCCUGCCCAAAACAGACGAGGCAGUGGAUAGCAUACUGUCCCAGAGGCUAAAAGCCCACACAUUUGAUAAGAGGCUUGUGUUGGAGCUGCACUGUGAAUUCUCCUCCGAAAGAGCACCCAGAACGUGAYAUACAUACCUUUUUGUCACAUCCUCCUGUGUGUGUUUUCGUGUCCGUGUGUGUGUAUCAAAUCUGCAGAUUACCUAUUAUCUGCUUUUGACUCCUGACCAGAAAUGUGUUUUUUCUGCAUGUAUUCCAUUUGAGAUUAAGUCUCUCCUCAUGAGAGAGUGCUUUUCUCCUUCUGUAGGUGUCGCCUCCUGCGCAGUGUGGACCACAGCAUGAACGAAUACCCAGCCCUGCACUAUCCUCAAGGGUGGCUACAGAGACUUCUCUCACCAGGAGCACUGUGAGCCCAAGUCCUACUGACCAAUGCACCACGAGGACCACAGAAAGGAGCUGCUGCGGUGCCGCACACACAGCCGAGCCUCCGCCUAGGAGCGCCGCAGACGCCACCACAUCCAAACUUUUGUCAAACUCUGAGCCAGUCGUGUCGGGGAUGGAGUCCGGGAGAAGAACAGACACUCAGAGGGACAGCUGAGUCCAAACAGUGACCUCGAGAUCGUCCGUUUAAUUAUCCUACAGGAACCUACUUGACUAUGUGAUAACAAAUUGCCCUUUUGUUGUGCUUGCCAGCUUUCCAAAUGGAACCCUUUUUCACAUGCUGUCAUGUAAACUAUGCACUAUGUCGAUGUUCACUGAUGCCUUUGUCCAUUUUGUAGUAUAUUUUAAUUACAGUAGAGACCGCAGGUCGCCUUUUCAAAUUGCUUUAAUGUCAUUUCCACAUUGCAGAGCAGAAAAUGGUGGCAUUAUUUCCAGUGUCAAUCAUGGAUGUAUGUUUUUAUUAUUAAUGGGAAUCAUGACUUAAUUUGAGCUCUUCUGAAUACCAUUUUUUUAACCAGAGUGAAUGACCUUGGAGUUUAGGUUGAAUAGUUUUUAAUGUUUUGAUUAUAUCAGGGACCUGCACAUGAAUUAAUGUAUUAACUAUGACGUUUAUAAUUAAAAAACACACCAAAAAACAUAA